CAGAGACCGCGCAACACUCUCUGUCACUACCUAUUCGAAGCUAGGACAACGGAUCUAGAUACCCGGAUAGUCCUACCGUAACGAUGGCACUAAGUAGAGGGUUUGAUUAUUCUCUGCCGGACGUACGCAUUAGUGCCCCUGGGAGUCGCCGCAAGCUAAACUCAAAAGAAUUGACGGGGCUCGCACAACGGUGAGCAUGUGCUUAAUCGAUGCACGCGAAGACCUUACCGGGGCUUGACAUGGUAGAAGUAGAAUCCUGAAAGGGUGACGAUCGGUAUCCAGUCCGAAGCUAUCACAGGUGUUGCAUGGCUGUCGUCAGCUCGUGUCGUGAGACGUUGGGUUAAGUCCCCUAACGAGCGAAACCCUGUCUUUAGUUGCUAACGGGUAAUGCUGAGCACUUUAGAGAGACUGCGUCGUUAAGACGGAGGAAGGUGGGGACGACGUCAAGUCAUCAUGCCCUUAUGUCCCGGGCUGCACACGUGCUACAAUGGUCGGUACAAAGGGAUGCUAAGUCGCGAGAUGGUGCGAAACCUAUAAAGCCGAUCUCAGUUCAGAUUGGAGGCUGAAACUCGCCUCCAUGAAGUUGGAAUCGCUAGUAAUCGCGGGAUCACGUACGCCGCGGUGAAUAUGUUCCCGAGCCUUGUACACACCGCCCGUCAAGCCACCCAAGCAAGAUGCACCCAAAAUCGCCUGCCUAACCCGUAAGGGAGGGAAGUGCCUAAGGUGUGUUUUGUGAGGAGGACUAAGUCGUAACAAGGUAGUCGUAGGAGAACUGCGGCUGGAUCACCUCCUUUCUG
rnacentral:rRNA from 1 species